rnacentral:rRNA from 1 species
CCUACGGGAGGCAGCAGACGAGAAUCAUUCACAAUGGGGGAAACCCUGAUGGUGCGACGCCGCGUGGGGGAAUGAAGGUCUUCGGAUUGUAAACCCCUGUCAUGUGGGAGCAAAUUAAAAAGAUAGUACCACAAGAGGAAGAGACGGCUAACUCUGUGCCAGCAGCCGCGGUAAUACAGAGGUCUCAAGCGUUGUUCGGAAUCACUGGGCGUAAAGCGUGCGUAGGCUGUUUCGUAAGUCGUGUGUGAAAGGCGCGGGCUCAACCCGCGGACGGCACAUGAUACUGGGAGACUAGAGUAAGGGAGGGGGAACCGGAAUUCUCGGUGUAGCAGUGAAAUGCGUAGAUAUCGAGAGGAACACUCGUGGCGAAGGCGGGUUCCUGGACAUUAACUGACGCUGAGGCACGAAGGCCAGGGGAGCGAAAGGGAUUAGAUACCCCAGUAGUC